UCGAGGAGCUCACAGUCUAGUAUGUCUCAUCCCCUACUAGACUGAAGCUCCUUGAGG
rnacentral:pre_miRNA from 3 species